CACUCCUACGGGAGGCAGCAGUGGGGAAUUUUGGACCAUGGGCGAAAGCCUGAUCCAGCAAUGCCGCGUGAGUGAAGAAGGCCUUCGGGUUGUAAAGCUCUUUUGUCAGGGAAGAAACGGUGAAAGCUAAUAUCUUUUGCUAAUGACGGUACCUGAAGAAUAAGCACCGGCUAACUACGUGCCAGCAGCCGCGGUAAUACGUAGGGUGCAAGCGUUAAUCGGAAUUACUGGGCGUAAAGCGUGCGCAGGCGGUUUUGUAAGUCUGAUGUGAAAUCCCCGGGCUCAACCUGGGAAUUGCAUUGGAGACUGCAAGGCUAGAAUCUGGCAGAGGGGGGUAGAAUUCCACGUGUAGCAGUGAAAUGCGUAGAUAUGUGGAGGAACACCGAUGGCGAAGGCAGCCCCCUGGGUCAAGAUUGACGCUCAUGCACGAAAGCGUGGGGAGCAAACAGGAUUAGAAACCCCUGUAGUCC
rnacentral:rRNA from 1 species